GCAGUGUAAACUCACCCGACUUUAGGACGGCUCACACACGACGUGACUGCCGCUCGGCUCCUCCCCCACAGAAUCUAAACAGGAAGAAGCUGCAGUGCCGUUGCAGCGUCACAAAAAGAGAAGAACGACGUGAGGUGCAGAGCCGGUGGACGUCAAAGAAACAAAAGUGUAAUAUUUGAGUAUAUCGAGCAAGAAAGCACAGCUGUCAUAGUUGUGGGGCGAAACUCAAAUCCAGAGUGCACUCUAAGCGGAAACACAAAAUAAAUACAUAUACCGAGAAAUAGCGGCAGGUCUGGCGAAAGAUCUGUGCAACCCCUUCUCUGCACUUUUUGAUUCUG